UGGGGAAUAUUGCGCAAUGGGCGAAAGCCUGACGCAGCGACGCCGCGUGGGGGAUGACGGCCUUCGGGUUGUAAACCUCUUUCGCCAGGGACGAAGCGUGAGUGACGGUACCUGGAUAAGAAGCACCGGCCAACUACGUGCCAGCAGCCGCGGUAACACGUAGGGUGCGAGCGUUGUCCGGAAUUAUUGGGCGUAAAGAGCUCGUAGGCGGUCUGUCGCGUCGGUCGUGAAAACUUGGGGCUUAACCCCUGAGCUUGCGGUCGAUACGGGCAUGACUGGAGUUCGGCAGGGGAGACUGGAAUUCCUGGUGUAGCGGUGAAAUGCGCAGAUAUCAGGAGGAACACCGGUGGCGAAGGCGGGUCUCUGGGCCGAUACUGACGCUGAGGAGCGAAAGCGUGGGGAGCGAACAGGAUUAGAUACCCUGGUAGUCCACGCCGUAAACGGUGGGCGCUAGGUGUGGGGGCCCAUUCCACGGUCUCUGUGCCGCAGCUAACGCAUUAAGCGCCCCGCCUGGGGAGUACGGCCGCAAGGCU
rnacentral:rRNA from 1 species